AAUUAAUUAACUUAUUUUCUAACAUUGGAAAGCAAACUACUCAGAGACGGAAAAAUGGAGGUCAUAUUCCUAAGCUAGCACAACUCUACUAUGAUACCCACUUCAAUUCAAAGACAAAAUAGUGGGUACACCCUGAUUGCGAACAUUCAUAUCAAGAGAUGUUGAGAGUACAAGAUGAGCAUUGUAGCACUCAUGAAGCACAGCCUUUGACUGAAGAGGAGAUAUCUAUGAUGGUUCUUAAGCCAAGUUUUGGCUAUGUAAAGGGACUUGGCAUGAGGCUUUCCUAAUCUCUUAAGACUCCUGCCUCAUCUUCCUCAACUCAAUAUACUCAACAACUCGAGGGUCGAGUAGAAGAGCUCCAGGAUGCAAAAUACAAGCUGGAGGGUUGAGUAGAAGAGCUCUAAGAUGCAAACUUCAAGCUAGAGGAGAAGAUGGAUUGCAUCAUACAAUAUUUUCCUACCUAAGAGCAUUAGUAUUGGGGCUUGUAUAUUGUAUAUGUUGCUAUAUUUUAGCAUAAAAACACAAAAACAAGCAUUACCCGGUCUCUCAAUUGUAAAAUAUUUUACAAUUGUGCUAUAGUAACCUCUUAUAUGUAUGAGGGUAUUAUAGCACAAUUGUACUACAAUUGUGUUUUUUGUUUAAAGGUGGUGGUGGGUUUUUUGUUUGUGGUGGUAGUUGGAUUUUUUGUUUAAUGGUGGUGGUGGGUUUUGUGUUAAUAAUGGUGGCUAGAUUUUUGUUUAUUGUGUGGUUGGAUUUUUGUGUUUAUGGUGGUGGUUGGGUUUUUUGUUUAAUGUUGGUGGUGGGUUUUUUGUUUAUUGUGAUGAAUAGGUUUUUUGUUUAUGGUAGUGACUGUGUUUUUGUGUUAA